GCUGGGGAGAUAGCGGUGCCCUGUACCUGCAAUCCGCUUUAGCAGGAGUGAUGGCUGGCCUAGGAUCGUUUUAGUUUGGGCUGCCCUUGGUAAGUGGCGUUGAGAUUUGGGUCUUGCGCGACAGGAAUCUGUGAACCGUGUCAGGUUGGGAACAAAGCAGCACUAAACAGAACCUCUCUGUGCGCCGCGAGGUUGCCUGGGUUGAGUCAACUGCUAAGGUAAC
rnacentral:SRP_RNA from 1 species